CUGUGCUUUCAAACCAACACUUUUCAAAAAGUAUACGGUUAUAGCUUCCAAGGAACCAAACCCCAUUUCCAAUCUAACGUUCCUUAUUCCUUUUAAUUCCCUACACACCACAUUUCAGUCCAGUUCACAUUGUCUCUCCGCCUCCAUUCUCCGCACGGCGAAGCAGGGGACUCCUCCAUACAUCAUGCAAUGGCUUCCGCUGCAAAAGGCGAGCCAACGUUCGGGUGAAUAACUGCUCGUGAAAUCGGAACCUCAUCGUGGGCAUUUCUUGCUAUUAUGCCGGAGCACAAUCUACAUCUCUCUUUCUCAAAGACACCAUCAAAAUUGAUUUUAACAAUCGAUCCAGUUGGGUGUCUCCAUUUGGCCAUCGUUCUACUCCUGACCAAAGAGUCCACAAAGCACAUCCAAACAUUCGACUCUGAUGCUGAGAGCUCUCCACAAAAACCUGGGUAAGCCAAUCCAAGUGCUCCAAAUCUGGCCUAUUCAAAACCUAGAUUAAUCCUAAACAAGUCCAGACUUCUAUUGAUGUAGGACACUCUCUAAAGAUAUGGUCCACAGACUUCAUUUCUCCACCACAUCGAGGACAUCCUAUGUUCACCAUCGAUCUUCUUUGUCUUAAAUUUGGGAAAAUAGGAAUAAAAUCUUUCGUAAUUCUCCAUAUUGUAAUUUUUACUUUAGUUGGAAGCUGUAAGUUCCACAACUUCUUACGAAAGCUUUAGUAGCAGUCUGUAAUGCAUUAAAAUUAGGGCCAAAGUUGCCUACUUGUAAUAGUUUAUAGGUACUGCGGACGGAGAAUUCACCCGACGGUUCGCCUCGCCAAACCAUCAAGUCGUCAUGACACUCCUUUGCCAAGGGAAUCUGCAAUAUCCUAUUAGUAUCUCUUACUGAGAAGCGUGUUGCAGGAACUACAUCUGCUACAAUGCCUACACCUAUCGUUCGACAGACUCCGAUAAAAUAAUUGUGGAGAUAUGGUACGCUGAGCUUUUGGGGUUGAAAGGGGUCGAUCCCUUAGCAGUAGAAGUUUGGAUUGAAUCCACUAAACGUGCUUUGCAUCAACUUGAGUGCAACUCGCGUGAAAGCGUGAUUUAUGUUGUUUCUCUAUUGCAAUGAGAAACGUAUAUAUGGUGACCGUUAGUAACAUGCCACGUACCUAUUGAACAGGUCAAUUGAGAAUUCUUUCAAAAGGAAUUUCAAAAGAAAUAUGUCAGAGGAUUGUACAUAGAAGAUAGAAGGCAAGAGUUUUUGCUUUAAAGCAGAGUGGGAUGUCAAUGGCCGAUUAUGAAAAGGAGCUUGUACGACUUGGUAAGUACGCUAUUGAAUUUGUGCCAUCUAAAAUCGAAAGUUGUAAGCAAUUUCUACGUGGGUUACGUGAUGAACUUCGGUUACAUUUGGUAUCGCAUCAGAUUACAGAGUUUGCUAAUCUAGUUGAACGAGCAAAGAUGGUAGAACAAGCCUUGGGACUAGAUAAAAAGGCUGAGGUUACUCGUACUUUUGAGAAGCGGUAUGGAGCUGCUAGCUCAUAUCCGUAACCAAAACGAACCAAGGAAUUUUACGGUGGUUGAAAAUUAACUUUUAAGUCUAAUAAAUUUGAUAGAAACCGUGAUCGACUAUAGACUAUGUCUACGGGUAGUGUGCAAGGUUCGUAUAGGGAUACUGAUAUCUCAAAUUGUGAACAUUAUGGGAAAAUGCACUGUGGUGAAUGUUGGAAGCUAACCUGGGCUUGUUUUCGCUGUGGAUCUAUGGAGUAUUUUGCUUGAGAGUGUCCAAAGAAUGAGAAUGCUACUCUUGUUUCUUCUCAGAGGUUUAUGUCUGCAUCUAGGGGACGUAGAACAAGUUGCGGUGGUUUUUUUGCUAGAAGUGGUGCUAGAAAGGGAAGCGACAUUGUUACUUACUAGGAAGAGGCCAGAGCGCCAACACAAGCUUAUGUUGUAUGGACACGUGAGGAUGGUGAUGCUAUUGACAUUGUGGCAAGUAUAUUUUUAUUGCAUUCAGUACUUGUUUAUGCUUUGAUAGACUCGAGACCUUACACUCAUAUGUUAAUGUUGAAUUAGUUAAAUCGGGAAGUUUAAAAGGUGAGACGUCUAGAGUAUCGAUAGUUGUGUCAAGUCCUUUGGGAUAGUCCGUAAUAGUGGAUCAGGUGUGUAGGCAAUGCCUGUUAGAAAUACAGAAUAUAACAUUCCCUGCUAAUUUGUUGAUAAUGCCAUUUGGUGACUUUGAUUUAAUAUUAGGAAUUGUUUGGCUUACUAAA